UAGCUCAGCUGGGAGAGCACCUGCUUUGCAAGCAGGGGGUCCGCGGUUCGAUCCCGCG
rnacentral:tRNA from 1 species